rnacentral:rRNA from 1 species
GACGAACGCUGGCGGCGUGCUUAACACAUGCAAGUCGAACGGAAAGGCCCUGCUUUUGUGGGGUGCUCGAGUGGCGAACGGGUGAGUAACACGUGAGUAACCUGCCCUUGACUUUGGGAUAACUUCAGGAAACUGGGGCUAAUACCGGAUAGGAGCUCCUGCUGCAUGGUGUGGGUUGGAAAGUUUCGGCGGUUGGGGAUGGACUCGCGGCUUAUCAGCUUGUUGGUGGGGUAGUGGCUUACCAAGGCUUUGACGGGUAGCCGGCCUGAGAGGGUGACCGGCCACAUUGGGACUGAGAUACGGCCCAGACUCCUACGGGAGGCAGCAGUGGGGAAUAUUGCACAAUGGGCGGAAGCCUGAUGCAGCAACGCCGGGUGCGGGAUGACGGCCUUCGGGUUGUAAACCGCUUUCGCCUGUGACGAAGCGGGAGUGACGGUAAUGGGUAAAGAAGCACCGGCUAACUACGUG